rnacentral:sRNA from 14 species
CCCGCUCGGAAAGCGCGACAACGCACCCAAUCUCUAGCGAACAUGUGCGUUCCUCCUCUUUCUUUGCCUCACUAGCGGGCUCAGCCUGGAGCGAG